UUCCAGACUCCUACGGGAGGCAGCAGUGGGGAAUAUUGCACAAUGGGGGAAACCCUGAUGCAGCAACGCCGCGUGGGUGAAGGAGCGUUUCGGCGCGUAAAGCCAUGUCAGCGGGGAAGAAGAAAGACGGUACCCGACCAAGAAGCCCCGGCUAACUACGUGUCAGCAGCCGCGGUAAUACGUAGGGGGCGAGCGUUAUCCGGAAUUACUGGGUGUAAAGGGAGCGUAGACGGCGAGGUAAGCCUGAAGUGGAAGCCCGCGGCCCAACCGCGGAACUGCUUUGGGAACUGCCCCGCUCGAGUGCCGGAGGGGCAGGCGGAAUUCCUAGUGUAGCGGUGAAAUGCGUAGAUAUUAGGAGGAACACCAGUGGCGAAGGCGGCCUGCUGGACGGUGUACUGACGCUGAGGCUCGAAAGCGUGGGGAGCAAACAGGAUUAGAUACCCGGGUAUA
rnacentral:rRNA from 1 species